rnacentral:rRNA from 1 species
CGAUACGGGACUCAUCCGAGGCCCCGUAAUCGGAAUGAGUACACUCUAAACCCUUUAACGAGGAUCAAUUGGAGGGCAAGUCUGGUGCCAGCAGCCGCGGUAACACCAGCUCCAAUAGCGUAUAUUAAAGUUGUUGCGGUUAAAAAGCUCGUAGUCGAAUUUGUGUCCCGCGCCGCCGGUUCAUCGCUCGCGGUGUUAACUGGCGUGCCCGCGGGACGUCCUGUCGGUGGGCUUAGCUCUCGGGCGGCCCAAUUUAAAUCCCACCGCGGUGCUCUUUACUGAGUGUCGAGGUGGGCCGGCACGUUUACUUUGAACAAAUUAGAGUGCUUAAAGCAGGCUAAAAUAUCGCCUGAAUACUGUGUGCAUGGAAUAAUGGAAUAGGACCUCGGUUCUAUUUUGUUGGUUUUCGGAACCCCGAGGUAAUGAUUAAUAGGAACGGAUGGGGGCAUUCGUAUUGCGACGUUAGAGGUGAAAUUCUUGGAUCGUCGCAAGACGGACAGAAGCGAAAGCAUUUGCCAAAAACGUUUUCAUUGAUCAAGAACGAAAGUUAGAGGUUCGAAGGCGAUCAGAUACCGCCCUAGUUCUAACCAUAAACGAUGCCAGCUAGCGAUCCGUCGACGUUCCUCCGAUGACUCGACGGGCAGCUUCCGGGAAACCAAAGCUUUUGGGAUCCGGGGGAAGUAUGGUUGCAAAGCUGAAACUUAAAGGAAUUGACGGAAGGGCACCACCAGGAGUGGAGCCUGCGGCUUAAUUUGACUCAACACGGGAAACCUCACCAGGCCCGGACACCGGAAGGAUUGACAGAUUGAGAG